GACGGAGGAUGCAAGCGUUAUCCGGAAUGAUUGGGCGUAAAGCGCGCGUAGGCGGUCUUUUAAGUCAGAGGUGAAAGCCCGGGGCUCAACCCCGGAAUAGCCUUUGAAACUGGAAGACUUGAAUCUUGGAGAGGUCAGUGGAAUUCCGAGUGUAGAGGUGAAAUUCGUAGAUAUUCGGAAGAACACCAGUGGCGAAGGCGACUGACUGGACAAGUAUUGACGCUGAGGUGCGAAAGCGUGGGGAGCAAACAGG
rnacentral:rRNA from 1 species